GACGAACGCUGGCGGCACGCUUAACACAUGCAAGUCGAACGAGAUCCUCGGAGCUUGCUCCGAGGGGACAGUGGCGAACGGGUGAGUAACACGUGAGGAACCUGCCCCGAAGACCGGAAUAACACCGGGAAACCGGUGCUAAUACCGGAUGCCCUCACCGGACCGCAUGAUCCGGUGAGGAAAUGGAUUCCGCUUCGGGAUGGCCUCGGGGCCUAUCAGCUUGUUGGUGGGGUAACGGCCUACCAAGGCUUCGACGGGUAGCUGGUCUGAGAGGAUGUCCAGCCACACUGGGACUGAGACACGGCCCAGACUCCGACGGGAGGCAGCAGUGGGGAAUAUUGCACAAUGGGGGAAACCCUGAUGCAGCAACGCCGCGUGAGUGAUGACGGCCUUCGGGUUGUAAAACUCUGUCUUCAGGGACGACAAUGACGGUACCUGGGGAGGAAGCCACGGCUAACUACGUGCCAGCCGCCGCCGUAA
rnacentral:rRNA from 1 species